rnacentral:tRNA from 1 species
GAAAAGAUAGCAUAAUAAUGCAACUGCCUUGAAAGCUCUUGAUAAGGAAUAACAACCCUUUCUUUUCG